rnacentral:rRNA from 1 species
CCUACGGGAGACAGCAGUGAGGAAUAUUGGUCAAUGGACGAGAGUCUGAACCAGCCAAGUAGCGUGAAGGAUGACUGCCCUAUGGGUUGUAAACUUCUUUUAUAAAGGAAUAAAACGAGGCACGCGUGCCUUGUUGCAUGUACUUUAUGCAUAAGGAUCGGCUAACUACGUCCCCGCCGCCGCGGUAAUACGGAGGACCCGAGCGUUAUCCGGAUUUAUUGGGUGUAAAGGGAGCGUAGAUGGGUUGUUAAGUCAGUUGUGAAAGUCUGCGGCUUAACCGUAAAAUUGCAAUUGAUACUGGCAGUCUUGAGUACAGUUGAGGUAGGCGGAAUUCGUGGUGUAGCGGUGAAAUGCUUAGAUAUCACGAAGAACCACGAUUGCGAAGGCAGCUUACUAAACUGUGACUGACAUUGAUGCUCGAAAGUGUGGGUAUCAAACAGGAUUAGAUACCCUUGUAGUC